AUGCAGCCGCCGACGGCUCCUUUUUGUUGCAGCCGCUCGCGCUCCUCCGUGGAGGCCUUUCAUGGUCGCCACCCUGCACACCUUGGCUUCCCUGAGCAACUUCCCACGUCGCUGCAAGAUGGCCAUAUGUUCGCCAUCCCUGGAGCAUUACUUCUUGUGGCGCCUCUUACUGACCUUCCUCGGCGUCUCUCAUCGACCUCCCCGACGACUCUCAUCGACCUUCCCCAUCGACAAGGUACAAAAGGUUUGGAAGGUCCUCCGUCAUGUGCUAUAGGAGAACCAGGUCAGCGCACAAAAAAAGCAGCGACAGUGGUCUUCUCAGGAGCUAACAGGAACCUCUCUCUCAGCUACUGA
rnacentral:rRNA from 1 species